CACGGGGGAGCAAGCGUUGUUCGGAAUCACUGGGCGUAAGGGUAGCGUAGGCGGCGCGGUAAGUCGGGUGUGAAAUCUCGGAGCUUAACUCCGAACUGCAUUCGAUACUGCCGUGCUUGAGGACUGGAGAGGAGACUGGAAUUUACGGUGUAGCGGUGAAAUGCGUAGAUAUCGUAAGGAAGACCAGUGGCGAAGGCGGGUCUCGUGGACAGUUCCUGACGCUGAGGCACGAAGGCCAGGGAGCAAACGGG
rnacentral:rRNA from 1 species